CCUACGGGAGUCAGCAGUGGGGAAUAUUGCACAAUGGGGGAAACCCUGAUGCAGCGACGCCGCGUGAGUGAAGAAGUAUCUCGGUACGUAAAGCUCUAUCAGCAGGGAAGAAAAUGACGGUACCUGACUAAGAAGCCCCGGCUAACUACGUGCCAGCAGCCGCGGACAUAAGUAGGGGGCAAGCGUUAGCCGGAUUUACUGGGUGUAAAGGUAGCGUAGACGGCAGCACAAGUAUGGAGUGAAAUCCGGGGGCUUAACCCCGGAACUGCUUUGGAAACUGUGCGGCUGGAGUGCAGGAGGGGUAAGCGGAAUUCCUAGUGUAGCGGUGAAAUGCGUAGAUAUUAGGAGGAACACCGGUGGCGAAGGCGGCGUACUGGACUGUAACUGACGUUGAGGCUCGAAAGCGUGGGGAGCAAACAGGAUUAGAUACCCGUGUAGUC
rnacentral:rRNA from 1 species